CCUACGGGUGGCAGCAGUAGGGAAUAUUGCUCAAUGGGGGAAACCCUGAAGCAGCAACGCCGCGUGGAGGAUGAAGGUUUUCGGAUUGUAAACUCCUUUUGUUAGAGAAGAUAAUGACGGUAUCUAACGAAUAAGCACCGGCUAACUCCGUGCCAGAAGCCGCGGUCAUACGGAGGGUGCAAGCGUUACUCGGAAUCACUGGGCGUAAAGAGAGCGUAGGCGGGAUAGCAAGUCAGAUGUGAAAUCCUAUGGCUUAACCAUAGAACUGCAUUUGAAACUGUUAUUCUAGAGUAUGGGAGAGGUAGGUGGAAUUCUUGGUGUAGGGGUAAAAUCCGUAGAGAUCAAGAGGAAUACUCAUUGCGAAGGCGACCUGCUAGAACAUAACUGACGCUGAUGCGCGAAAGCGUGGGGAGCAAACAGGAUUAGAUACCCCAGUAGUC
rnacentral:rRNA from 1 species